rnacentral:lncRNA from 1 species
CCCGGCCCCGGCGCCGCAGGUGCCUCCGGGGAGCUCGCAAUCCCCGGGUCAGCGCCGCCGCCCCGCGCGCCCGCACUCACCAUGGUGGCCGGGCCGUCGCCGCCCCCGCCCGGCGAGUGGCGAGAGCAGUGGACACGAGGGCGAGAGCCGAGCGCAGGAGCCGGCGCGGGUGACAGAUCUGUACUCUGUAGACACAGAAGAGGAGAGAGAAAGAGAUUUAGUUUUUAAAACAAAAAUUGGACUCCUACCAUAUGGACUGUUUCAUAUUCUACUGUUUUAUUUUUUUCAUAACAUGUUAUUGAACAAAUAUUAAUUGAGCAUCUAGUCUGUGCCAAGAACUGUGCUGGCUACUGGGCAUAGAACAGUGAAAAAGGAGACAUGGUCCCUCUCAAGGUCCCAUUCCCCCUGCUUCCUAUAAUCCCAGUUUGGCUUUAGGGACGGAACCCACACAUGAACUCUUAGCCUUAGGUGUGGCACAUGACUGAGUCCUGGCCAAUCAGAGCACUGCUUUCCCACAGC